UACAGAGGAGGCAAGCGUUAUUCGGAAUUAUUGGGCGUAAAGGGCGCGUAGGCGGCUUUGCAAGUGGCGGGUGAAAUCCCUCGGCUUAACCGAGGAACUGCCUGUCAAACUGCAUGGCUUGAGACCAGGAGAGGUGAGUGGAAUUCCCAGUGUAGCGGUGAAAUGCGUAGAUAUUGGGAGGAACACCAGUGACGAAGGCGGCUCACUGGACUGGUACUGACGCUGAUGCGCGAAAGCGUGGGGAGCAAACAGG
rnacentral:rRNA from 1 species